AUGAAAACUCGGAUGCUUUUCUUACAACCCUAGAGGAGUGGUAGAAAAGGAAUUUCUUUCUUCAAAAGCCCCCGAAGGACUUGGAUGCGAAUGAAGUCAAGAGGAAAUGGUGCUUCUUUGUCAUGACAUUCGCCGGAUGAAAAAUAGCCUACCGCACAAAUCUCCGACACUGGGAACUCAUUAAUGCAAGUUAGAGGCAUCUAGGAUAGCUACAAUCGAUUUGAAGAAGCUUAAAGAUGCUGGUCUGUGCAAGACGAUCUGUUGCUUACUCUCCUUGGAAAUAAUUACUUCAUGCACAAAUGAAUUGCUGAAGCUAAAGUUGAUAAGAUCAUUGAAGCAGUGUCGAAGCUGGUUCCAUUGGGUUUUACUGGUGCCAGUCAACUCCAUACAGAAAGGCAAGAAGGUGUUUUUGGAGAAAUAAGCUUUUGCGGCGAAAUUGGCUAA